rnacentral:rRNA from 1 species
ACUCCUACGGGAGGCAGCAGUGGGAAUCGUUAGACAAUGGGGGAAACCCUGAUCUAGCCAUGCCGCGUGAGCGAUGAAGGCCUUAGGGUUGUAAAGCUCUUUCAGCUGGGAAGAUAAUGACGGUACCAGCAGAAGAAGCCCCGGCUAACUCCUGUGCCAGCAGCCGCGGUAAUACGGAGGGGCUAGCGUUGUUCGGAAUUACUGGGCGUAAAGCGCGCGUAGCGGAUUGGAAAGUCAGAGGUGAAAUCCCGGGCUCAA